rnacentral:rRNA from 1 species
ACGGAGGGAGCAAGCGUUACUCGGAAUUACUGGGCGUAAAGCGCGUGUAGGCGGCUUCGUAAGUUGGAUGUGGAAUCCCACGGCUCAACCGUGGACGUGCAUCCAAAACUACGUCGCUGGAGUCUCGGAGAGGAAGGUGGAAUGCUUGGUGUAGAGGUGAAAUUCGUAGAUAUCAAGCAGAACACCUGCGACGAAGGCGGCCUUCUGGACGAUGACUGACGCUGAGACGCGAAAGCGUGGGGAGCAAACAGGA